GAACCUGCCUCAAAGAGGGGGACAACAGUUGGAAACGACUGCUAAUACCGCAUAAGCCCACGGGUCGGCAUCGACCAGAGGGAAAAGGAGCAAUCCGCUUUGAGAUGGCCUCGCGUCCGAUUAGCUAGUUGGUGAGGUAAUGGCCCACCAAGGCGACGAUCGGUAGCCGGACUGAGAGGUUGAACGGCCACAUUGGGACUGAGACACGGCCCAGACUCCUACGGGAGGCAGCAGUGGGGAAUAUUGCACAAUGGGGGAAACCCUGAUGCAGCGACGCCGCGUGGAGGAAGAAGGUCUUCGGAUUGUAAACUCCUGUUGUUGAGGAAGAUAAUGACGGUACUCAACAAGGAAGUGACGGCUAACUACGUGCCAGCAGCCGCGGUAAAACGUAGGUCACAAGCGUUGUCCGGAAUUACUGGGUGUAAAGGGAGCGCAGGCGGGAAGACAAGUUGGAAGUGAAAUCUAUGGGCUCAACCCAUAAACUGCUUUCAAAACUGUUUUUCUUGAGUAGUGCAGAGGUAGGCGGAAUUCCCGGUGUAGCGGUGGAAUGCGUAGAUAUCGGGAGGAACACCAGUGGCGAAGGCGGCCUACUGGGCACCAACUGACGCUGAGGCUCGAAAGUGUGGGUAGCAAACAGGAUUAGAUACCCUGGUAGUCCACACCGUAAACGAUGAUUACUAGGUG
rnacentral:rRNA from 1 species